AAUUGCAACAAAGUUGAGAGGAAGAGCUACUCAAGACAAUGAAGCCAUUAAACAUUGUUGGAGUUACAGCUGCACUCCUCCUGGUUAGCAUCCUUACAGCAAGGGCAGAAAAGCAGAACACUGUGGAAAAUGAGCUGAAAGAAUAUAUGCAAGACACCCAUGACCUUUCAGAAGAUGCUGAGCAACAUGAUGUCUCAGCAGGUGAUCUGGAGGACUUAGAGAAAGAGAUCAGUGAACUAGCCGGUAACCUUG